GUCAUAUUUUGUCUAACCCUAAUAUGAAGAGGAUGUAGGCGCCAUGCUUUUGUUCCCAGUGUGCUGUUUUUCUCGCUGACUUUCAGUGUGCGGAAAAGCCUUGGCCUGCCAUAGACCACUGUCUAAUUAAAAUCAAACAAAGUGGAUUGUUGGU
rnacentral:sRNA from 1 species